rnacentral:lncRNA from 1 species
UCUACGUGGGACACAGGGAGCCACCUCCGGGCGCAGAGGCCUACAUCCCACAGAGAUACCCAGACAACAGGAUCGUCUCGUCCAAGGUAAUGCGGAACGCACGUGCCUGCGUUCAGACUCCGUUUAUCUUCACCGUCCUUCAAAAUGGAUGAGCUAAACCCACGCACACGCGUGGACGGGCUGCACAUGGGGUAAACUGUGCUUUCCAGGUAAUGCGGAACGCACGUGCCUGCGUUCAGACUCCGUUUAUCUUCACCGUCCUUCAAAAUGGAUGAGCUAAACCCA